AAGCUAUCAUCACAUUAUCUGUUAUUUGUCUUCCAGCUACAAAGGUUGACUGAGUUCAUAUAUUAUAUCCGGUAAUACCUUCUUUAGCCUUUGGCAUAAGAAAUGAUCUUAUAGCUUACAAUGCACAAGCUGAUGGGCGAAAUUAGGACAUUUCGUUUGUUUUUUUUUUUUUGAAUGAGGCAUAUAUUUAUAUCAUUAAAGCAUGGCGCCAUAACUCCUUCAAAUAGGAAUUAAUUUACCAUACGGAUUAAGUCUUCCUUUUCUAUAUCCUAUAUUUUUUUGAUCGAAAAGAGCUGUUAGGCCAUCUGGUCCCAGGGAUUUUUCAGGAUAUAUAGCAAACAGUGCAAGUUUGACCUCCCAUUCCGUAACUGGUGUUGUAAGUUCCGCGUUCAGUCUGCUAGAUAUUGUUGUCAUAAUAUUCGAUAGAGCCUCA
rnacentral:lncRNA from 1 species